CAGAGUUCACGCCCGAGAGGGUAGACCUCCCACCCGUGUGUACCAUUACUGUGUUGCUUUGGCGAGCCGCCCUCGGGCCUAGCGCGCUCGCCAGAGGAUUACCAAACCCUUUUUAUUCAUGUCGUCUGAGCACUAUAUAAUAGUUA
rnacentral:rRNA from 1 species